ensembl:lincRNA
CAGCCACAGGCCAGCAGUGCAGGGGCUGAGGAAGAAAACCAGGAAGGGAAAGUCACAGAUCUCCUUCCAUCACCCUGCAGCCUAGAGAAGCCACUGAAGGUCACAACAGGCCCACACCCAGGGAGUGUGUGUGUGUGUGCGCACUCACUCCCCUGCAACCACAGGGAGCUACUCCGAAGAGCAGGCUUUUCAACAAGACCAGGGCCACAAUUCAGGCCACGCCCGAGGGGAGGAGAAGCCAACAGGAAGUGCCUUGGUGUCUGGAGUGGGUGGAGCCUCUGGGAGAGAGACAAGGAUAAAGCCAGAGGUGGGUGGAGGAAGGAGGCAGUUUGAAGACUUGGGCUUCAGACACGCUCCUGAAUCUGGGAUCCUUGCCGCUGGUGACAAAGGUCAGAGACAAGGACACUGGAGAUUGGAGAUUGCAGAUCAAUGCAAAGCCUAUUUGGAAAGGGCUUCCUCCACCUCUUCCAAAGACACCAGGACGAUCGAUCUCCUUGCGCGUUGGAUGCUGAACAAGCACUCGCCUGGUCACCAGGGGGCUCACGCCUGCCCAGUGGGAACAGCACAUGGCCAGCCUUCCCUGCCUCCAUCUCCGGGCACAGCUCCACGUUCUGAGAGUUGGUGGUCUGCGGAGAGGUGUGGGAGGAAAAUUUCAUGCAGAAGUUUGCCUGUCUGCAUUUGCAUUUGAAGACAGCUGGGAUAUGAAGACCGUGUAAACAAAGGCAUUCCAUUCACAGGGAAAGUUUAAAAUAUUCAGAAAUGCUGGAGGAUGCUCCCAGAGAAAAAGUGAAAGAGACUCUUGCUUCCUUCGCAUGUGGAGACACAGCUAUCAUACUGCCAAGCGGCCUGUGGGAGGAGGCUGUGCUCUUCUGCGGAUUCCUGUGUGGAUGCCCUAUGAGAAGACUCUACGGCAAGGGUGGCUGAGGAAGUCAUGCUGGGAGCAUCUUGGGUCGGUGACUCCUGGGUCACUUCCCUGUGGGCAGGAGUGGACCUGGGGAGGGCUGUCAACCCCCACAGCAUGAUGGGCCCCAAAACGGUGGAGAAUGUCAUCUGUAAGAGUCAGCUUUUGUGUUGCUGAGACCCCAUUCCCAAUGCCCACGUCUUAUACAUAAAUGGUUUAUUCAGCUCACAGGAUCCAGUCUGUGGUUGGCUUGACUCCAAGGCGGGAACAUCAUGGAGGAGGAAGCAGCUGAAGGAACAGAGCCAGAGAAGAACAAAGGGUGAGGGACCAAAUAGAGACCCCGCAGCGGUGCCUCCCUGACCUACCCAGACACCCAGAAGUGUGCUUUGCGAAUCUCCGUGGCAGCUCCCAAGUCAGUCGAGCUGACAGGACCACGCUUCACCACCACGCCCUGGCUGAUGGCAAAGGCUAAUUAGUGCUGUGAGUCACACAGGUUACCAGCUCAGGACACCGGGACAUAUGGCACUGUGAUCAUGCACCGACUGGAGCCCCAAAGUCACUCCAACCUGAAUUUGUGGUAUUUUAUUUUAUUUUUCAUUAGAUUAAACUUUCCAAUGUUUAGGAAGAAUUAUAACAUUUUUUUCUUUCCCUAGAAAUUCCAAGUGUCGACUAUGCAAACAACACUUUACAGGUAACAAAUUGUUCUCUUUUCCCAUCAGAAGGAGCACGGGAGAGUCAGAACCUUGGCUCCACCUGUGGAGACACUAACGGAUGUGCUGGUGGGAAGGUGGCGACCCAUGCACGGAAGACCCUCCGUGCAGACACAGACUCGAGGACAGAGGUUGGACAUCUAGCAGGACACCUUGUUCGCUUCAGCGCCAUCCACGCAAACAUGCUCUUGCAGACAGCAGGCAGGUGAUUCUCUACCCGGCUGCAUGGC